ensembl:snoRNA U3 Small nucleolar RNA U3
AAAACUAUAAUUUCAGGGAUCAUUUCUAUAGUUCUUAACUAGAGAAUUUUCUCUGGCUGAAUAGAGAACCCGACACCGUGAGGAGGUGAUGUAUGUAGUGUUCCUUCCUGAGCAUGAAGUUGGCUCUAGGUGCUGCUUCCCUGCAGCUAAUUCCUAUCGUUGAUGAUAGUUCUUCUCACACUUUAGGAGAAUAAGAGGGAGGGAAUGAAUUUUGAA